rnacentral:lncRNA from 1 species
AUCGUCGCGCCGCCGCCGCCGCCGCCGCCGCCUCGGCGCGGGAUUGGGGGGCUCUCCUCGGCCUUCUCGGUCUUCGUCUCACUUAUCUCUCCCCCCUCUCCCCCCCCCCCUUUUCAGCGCAGCUCGGAACUGGCCCUUUAAGAAAACAUUCCGUGUUCGGCGCUCCCGCCCGGGGCCCGCACCCCGGACACUUUAAAAGGACCCAGGUGGCCCCGGAGGCGAGGAGGCGCUGCAAGGCUCCGUGCUCCUGGAGCUUCGAGUCUAUGGUAUGAGUUAAACAGAAGGGUAUCUCCUCCAUCAGAUCUACAGGAGGGUGUCUGCUCCAUCAGACCUGGAGCUUCCAAGGCAUUUUACCCGAAGCUCCAGCACCUGGCCCAAGGCUGGGCUGUGCUGUGUCCUCAGUGAAAGAAUGGAUGAGUCACAGCUGAAUGACUGAAGAGCUGAACCAAUGGGAAAACUGAUGCUCAGAGGCUUGAGCAACCUAGGCCAGGACCUGUCCUUAGAGGCAGAAGCAGGACUCAGAGGAAGAGCACCCUGACCACAAAGCCCCAGGGUCCAGAAAGACUCAGCCACUGGAGUCUGUAUUUCCUGAGUCGCCUCUCACUGCUGGAGCUGUUUAUCAUCGCUCCAACUUUCACUAAAAAGGAAAAACUAUCACUUAAACAAAGCCAUUGAAACCCCAGCAUCAUGUGUGGAUUUUUUAACAUAAAUAAAUCAUACAAACUAAGAUUUA